rnacentral:tRNA from 1 species
UCAGAGCGUGGUGCUAAUAACGCCAAGGUCAUGGGUUCAAACCCCAUACAGGCCA